UGCAGGCUGCGUGCCCUGUCCUAGCCCCCCUGCCCCGCUGGAGUCAGUGCUGGAGGCAGCUGCGUGUGCACUCGUGGCGCUGGGGUCUUCCAGAUAGUUUCCAGUCUCUCCCAAUUAAACCAACAUUUUUACUGUGGUAGACUCCUCACCAGUGCUCUGUGGAAAUUUUCAUGCAAAUUCAGCAACUUUGAAAAAGAAGGAUGAUGAACUGUUAUGAGCUGUUCUGUACUGGCAAGAGGACCACUUUUAGCACUAACACUACAGAAGAUGGAAAGCCUCUGAGCUCUGUGGUAGGACUACACAGACAGAAGUUUUCCCUUGGACCUUGCCAUACUGACCAGGACUGAAUCACAGUGGAGACCGGAGGGGAAGAUACUCAAAAUUAAGCCUAAUGUGAGAGGCUUACUAAGAGUUUGCUUGAAGCAUCCAGUCCAAAGACUGAAGAGCCUGGUCAGAAAAAGAUGAAGAUCUGGGAAUGAUUGAGAGAAGUAGUGCGAGCAGUUCCUCUGGAGGGAGUUCUGAGUUACAUUUGCUGAAAGCUGUUUCAUCUUCCCAGCAAUCCUGUUUGAAAUAAAAUUGUACAUGCUGAUCUCAAACAUCAUGAUUUAUGGGCAUGCACAAAGACUGCAUCCUAAAUUUCCCUGACUGCAUAUAGAUAUAUGUUCUCCUGCUUGUGAAACACAAAAUGGUACACUGGGAUGAAUUUAUAGGAGAGCUGAAGUCUACCCAAAAGAAUUACAGUUGGUAUUAUCUCAAUACUUCAACUUUUGUUAGCUAAAGAAGAUCCAUCACAAAUAUAAUCAGGGAGCAUAUAGUAGCAGUGUGGGGCACAACAUCAGAGGCUUAUUCACUCAACAUGCAGAGGUACAGCACUGUAAAAGUGAUCAUCACCUAACUUUGUACCCAAAUAUUGUUCCUGUGUGCUUGGUUCUUUGAAUUACAUUCUUGCAUGGACUGUGACCGUGAUAAUGACUGCAAUAGUUACAUUCCAUUAAUAAGGAAAGAUACUUGCAUCUGAAAAGAUGCUUUGCAAUUUAUGACAUAAAUGAUAAUAUGAUUUUGCAUUAAUCAGUAAAGGCAGGAGGACUGUCAGAUGAAAGACAGCUUGUACAUGCAGAUUAUAAAACUAAUUUUACUUCUAAGAAUAAAACUCCUGAAAUAUUUUUUUUUAAAUUUUGCUGCUGGAAACAACAUCAUGACUGGUGCAGAAACAAGAAAAGUGCAUUGUAGAAUACCAGAUGUCUCUGGGUACAUGUAGGUCUUAAUAUAGCCAUUACUUCAUCGUGUCAGGAUAUUAAGUAGCAGUAUUUUCUAAUUCAUCCACAUUUAAAAUAAUAUAGUGGAAACUGGAGUUAUUGCCUGUGCUGGUUUUGGCUGGGGUAGAGUUAAUUUUCUUCACAGUAGCUAGCAUGGGGCUGUGUUUUGGAUUUGUGCUGGAAACAGUGUUGAUAACACAGGGAUGUUUUAGUUACUGCUGAGCAAGUGCUUACACAGAGCCAAGGCCUUUUCUGCUUCUCACCCCACCCCGCCAGCGAGUGGGCUGGGGGUGCACAAGAAGCUGGGAGGGGACACAGCCGGGACAGCUGACCCCAACUGACCAAGGGAUAUUCCCUACCGUAUGAUGCCAUGCUCAGUAUAUAAAGCUGGGGGAAGAAGAAGGAAGACGGGGACCUUCACAGUGAUGGCAUUUAUCUUCCCAAGUAACUGUUACGUGUGAUGGAGCCCUGCUUUCCUGGAGAUGGCUGAACACCUGCCUGCCCAUGGGAAGAAGUGAGUGAAUUCCUUGUUUUCUUUGCUUGCGUGUGAGGCUUUUGCUUUACCUAUUAAACUGUCUUUAUCUCAACCCACAAGUUUUCUCACUCUUACCCUUCUGAUUCUCUCCCGCAUCUCACUGCGGGGGAGUGACUGAGCAGCUGUGGGGGGCUUAGUUGCCAGCUGGGGUUAAACCACGACAUUGCUAAAAUGGAUUAAUUAUUUUUUUCAACUGAGAAAGCAAUUCACGGUUUUACUGAAAAACGCAUACUUCCUUUUGUGGUCAAUGAUUCCUCAAGCCAUUAAAUGUCAAAAUGCUUUUAACAGCUUUUUACUAGUUGAAAAGAAAACCAUCCAUUGUAUGAUUAUUUUUAAGACAACAAUGAAGCUGGAGAAAGAGAACAAAUAUUUAGUUCCAUUCAGUUGCUUGUCUCCCAUCAUGAAAACAUCCUGUGGGCAGCUGAACAUUUGACCUUGAAACCUUUUCAUCAGAAUUCUUCAAUUGCUUUUCCUUAUCUACUAAGGGAAUUUUAGAAUUAUUUAGGAUUUAUUUUAUUUUGUUAACAUAAAUGCAUAGAAAUGUUGAGACAUAUCCCCUCUACACCCUGUAAUGGAAAGGAUCUGAAAUUACUUUUGACUAUAAAAGAUAUUCAGUGUAUGUUAAGCAAAGAUUUCCUGCUUGAGAUUGAAAAAAUUUUAGAGAGUUAUGUAAAUAGACAUAAUAAUGAAGAGAAUUAAGUACCUAAACACUAUUUAAAUUUAUUUCACAUUGUGUUCAAAAUGUUUAGGAUACAUCCUUGAAGUGAGAAGUAACAGAUCCCAUAUACCUCAAAGUUUAUGGCUUAAUAUGUUUAGUGCAGAAUAAUUUGCUAUGGUGAACAGACAACAGGAAGCCAAAGACCUGUGGGAUGGUUCAACCACUUUUUUGGAAAAAGAGUCAGUUCUUUAGGAAAUCAGAGUAAGCACAGAAAGAGGUUUGUAUAUGGAAUAUGGUGUAUUGAGGUUGAGUGGAAUGUAUGAGUCUGUGUAGCAAGAUGUGUCUUAGAAAAAGGAGGUGUUUGAUCUUUGAUGAAUAGCUAUCUCAAUAUCAAAAAGCUCCCCCAAAUUGUGGCACUUCAUGUGCCAUAUAUAAAGUAUAGGCUUUUGUACGUCAAAUGCAACAGCAGAAAACUUAUUUUUCUUGUGUAAACAGAAGCACAUAGAUUGCAGAAAGCUGAUACAUAUUGUUUUUAAGUCUGAUCUUUCAAUUAAACAGUUUCACUUGUAUUCAUAAAUGUUUUUAUUAACUGAUUUUAGAAAAAAGAUAUAUUGAAAUAAAUAAUAUGUUAAAAUUGA